UUACCUUUUAGGGAAUUAAAUUUCGUGAAGAACGCAAUGCUGUAUGGGAUGCACCAUUCCAUGGAGCCAUCUAUGUUCCAGAGCUGCCUUCUGCACGUGAAAGCUAUUCCUUACAGAGAGGGGACAGGAAUGUUGAGGUGACUGUGGAAUUCCGUUCACUCUGUGAAGCAGUCAGCAGACGUGUGGAACUAAGUGACACAGAAUAUGAGUACAGACCGCCAUAUUAUCAUGAGAAGAUAUGCAGAACGUAUGGAGAGAGCGAGAGAGCUGAUGCAGGAAAUCAGAUGUGCAUGUUCUCUUGCAUUCAACGGAUGGACAUAGUCUACCUCACCCGACGCCGCUAUGAUACCAACUGCUGGGAAACAUUUACAAAAACAGUAGCAUCCUCUUGUGACUGCAUGUGGCCCGAAACAAAGUAUGCACCAACUGGAUAAUAAACUCUACUGUUCAUGCAAGAGGUAUGAGGGAUAUGCCCUUGAUGAUAAUCUUUUCUAGUCUCAAAACCCAUAAGACAGUAACCCAUACCAAUCAACAAUGACAGAUCAUUUGACUGAAAAAAAUGUAUCAGCAUACGUGUAUAACUAUGAAGAUGAUUCCAUGAGAUCACUGCACUCAAAGUACUGUCUGAAAGUGUUAAUCAUGAUACUUAUAGUAACUUAUACACCAACACAAUUGUUUACAUAACAAUUAUUAACACAGCAUGCAAUCUUUUCUUACAGGGUAUAAGUUGCUUGUAAUUCUUGGAAGAUUGAAAUAAAUAUUAGCAGUGCUCUCAUUUCAUCAUAGUUUAGCAGAAGUGUUCCAGAAUCUAUAAUUCCACCAUAUUAGUGAAAAUUUGAUGGAUGUACCCAAUAAAUAUUUUAUAAAUUACAAAAUCUUCAGAAAAAGUGUUAGCAAAGAAUUUAAUAUUGAGGGAAUUUAGGUAGCAGGUCAAAGGAAGAUGAAAACUAGAGAGAAAGAGACAGCGAGAGAGAGAGAGAAAUGAUACCAGAACAAAAACAUGGCUCUUUAAUUAUAUAAGCAAUCUUACAAAUAUGCUUUACUGAACGAGUGAGAGGCCAGUGUGAGGCAAGUAUGCUUUUGGAUACUAAUGCACUUCAUGAGAUCUCUCAAAAUGUCCUUCCCGAACUUCCACUUGUUGCCAGGAGGGAAGGAGCGAAUUAAAUUGUACUUUACAUGCUGUUUAAUAGGUUUAAAUACUGUCACGUGUAGAAUGGUAUGUGAGACGUAAAUGAUGGGUCCUAGUUCAGAUGAUUGGAUUUAUUAGCACUUCGGUUACAAUUUCUCUUAAUCACACUUAAAUACAGGCAAUACAGCACUAUCGCUGAUUUACACACUUUCCACCUCCCUGUUGCAUCUGCACUAGGAUUCCGAGUCUUCACUAGUCAUCUCCUGGCACUGGAUCUCAACACAUAAACUAUUACAGUCUCACCGAAUUACACGCUCCACGUAUUACAUAAAAAUAAAAUCUUAAAAUUGCUCUUUAAAUCUUCACAGGUCGACCUCCUGUAUUCUUCUAUACUCCUGGUUCCAAUUUGCUCUGUUCAUGUGGUUCCAUCCCACUUUUUGUUCUUCUACAACGAAUUCAAAACUCAUAACUCUGUCACUCACUCAUUCACUGUCACUUAUUGUUCCAAAUCACUCUGAACUUAUGCCUCACAGCUCUCAAUACACAGCUGCAGUACAGACUGCACAGAAAACAGCCUCUAUAUUGUUCAGGUCUGUUUACUGAGGAGAGGUGCCAAAACUUGACCUGGUGAUAGAAAACUGGGAAGUGACAGUCUGCCACACGGAAUGGGACUAACUCCAGAUGGGGAGGCAGAGUAAGACUGAGGACACUCCUAUACUGCUGGACUUCCAACAAAGGUCUCGGGGCAGGGGUCCUACCGAUUGUAACAGUACAUGGGGGGGGGGUGUUGCCUAAGAGCAUGAUAAAGGCCCAUAAGACAUUACACAUUAAGGACUGUAAAGGCCUACUAUCUUCUUAAUGUCACUGAGAAAUCCAUUCAUAAAUAUGACCAUGUCAUAGACUAUAACACUCCCUUAGAAUUGAGGAUGACGAGUAGCCUCCAACUGAAAGACGCUGCCAGCGUUGGUAUAUCACAAAUUUCAGUUCAGUUACUUUCAUUAAUCUUCUUUGCUGAUUCUAACCACAUACAUUAAAAUUUUUGUAGAAAUUAAUAUUAUUUUACUACAAAUUUUAGAUUUUAUAGUUCUACCACUCCUUUCGCUUCCAGAGGGCCACCCAAACCUUAUUUGCGCACUUUUAUAUGCAGUUACCAGAUCACAUUGCUUCAUCUCAAUGGAGAUGGUGGAUUUCUGGCAGUCCUCACCUUUGGUUUUCUAUUUCAUUUUACCUAUUGUAGGAAGGGGACCAUUUGGCUGCCGUUCUGUUAGGCCCUUGAUCCUCAUUAGGUGUGGAUGUUGUUGUUAUAUGAAUCAUUGUUACCUAGUCAGUUGGCUUUUCUGGCAACUUUUCAGUUCGGUGUUAUGGGGCCACAUUGUGGUUGUUGUAUGUGUUACUAUUUUUCAUGGUCAUCUAUAGGUUGAACCUUGCAUUAUGACCUAUCUCCACACUUUGAUGUGGUCCAAAUGAAGUAUUUCCUUCAUAACUCACUAUAUUAAUUUCACAAAAUUUACUACUUUAAUGUAAACUGUAACUGAUGUAAACAGCCUUUAGAAUUAGGGGUAAAAUGGUUGAAAAACAAGGUUGGCGCGGGUUCAGCCACUUGACCAGACAGACACGUCCACCCGGUUCCCUGCAGGCAGCUACUUUCGGUAGCCAGCUAAGAUCUGUUUCUCGAUGAGAACUUUGUAGAGGGGUCUGUCUAUACAGAUACUCCCUGGCAGGGCAGGGAUAAGAGCUGCAGGAAUGUGUGGAGUAAAUAUGGGAAUAUCACGGACAUCUUGGCAAAUAUAUCCAGCCUAUUGUUUCUAGACAUAGGCAGAACUAACUAGGUUCCAAUAACUUAACUUGUGGGACCCAACACAUCCGCAUGUGGGAAGUCUGAACUUCACUUCACAGUAUUUAACCAGUUGACACAUGCCCUACUGAGGCUCAAGGGAAGGAAGUGGCUGCCCAGAAGCCAGUGUGGGUCUAAGCAGGUUAGCAUAAAAACGUGGUCAACUUUCCAAAUGUGGAAGAUAAAGGUUUAUUAAACAAAGGACACAAAUACAAUAACAAUAAUAAUAAAAAGGAUAAUAAUGACAAUACAAACCAGAAGUAUAGGACAGGACACAGUGACUCACCUGACGGAACACAGUUUCGAAGUCAAACACACAAAAUUAAAUUUAGAUACCAGAAGAGAUGCGAGUCUGAUUGCUGCAGAAAUGUGAGUGUCCCUGGUAUGACAGGUGCAAGAGCCCAGGACAAGGAAGGAGGGAAAAGGAAAGAGAAAAGGGAAGAAGGUGAGGUACACAAGGAGGGGGAAGCAGAAAAGAGGGGUGGUGCAGGGAAGAACAUGUAUUACAUAACAAUACUUUGUCAAAAAUAAGAUAAUGCUCAAAAUGAACCACUGAUACAAACUUUUAGGGAAUCAGAGGGCAGGAUCAAUGAGAUCUGGUUCCUAGGAACUGAUGAUGGUUCAGUGGACAUUUGGAAACCAGGAGAUUUCUGAAGCCAUAACAAUACAAUACAAUAUAGCCACAGCAAGAAGAACUGUACGACAGAUACAGAUUACUGGUUAAACUAAUGACAUGGAGCAGAGUCCUUCUAGAAAAGUUACUAGUUGUUCAGAUUUACAGCAUGUAAAAGAUCCUCAUGUCUCUAGGAGACCUCUGAGCAAAAUUAGGCAAAAGUUUCCCACCCAAGUA